UGGGGAAUAUUGCGCAAUGGACGAAAGUCUGACGCAGCAACGCCGCGUGAGUGAUGAAGGUCUUCGGAUCGUAAAGCUCUGUCGGCAGGAACGAUGUUCCUAGUAGCUAAUAUCUUCUGGGAUUGACGGUACCCGCAAAGGAAGCACCGGCUAACUCUGUGCCAGCAGCCGCGGUAAUACAGAGGGUGCAAGCGUUGUUCGGAAUCAUUGGGCGUAAAGGGCGCGUAGGCGGUUGAUUAAGUUGAAUGUGAAAGCCCGGGGCUCAACCUCGGAAGCGCAUUCAAAACUAGUCGACUAGAGUUCCGCAGAGGAUGGUAGAAUUCCCAGUGUAGAGGUGAAAUUCGUAGAUAUUGGGAGGAAUACCAGUGGCGAAGGCGACCAUCUGGACGGAUACUGACGCUGAGGCGCGAAAGCGUGGGUAGCAAACAGGAUUAGAUACCCUGGUAGUCCACGCCGUAAACGAUGGAUACUAGUUGUUGUGGGUAUUGACCCCUACAGUGACGCAGCUAACGCAAUAAGUAUCCCGCCUGGGAAGUACGGCCGCAAGGCUA
rnacentral:rRNA from 1 species